rnacentral:RNase_P_RNA from 1 species
CAGGAGAGCCGGGCGGUCGCUGCCGGGACGCGAAGCGCAAGCCGAACGUACCGGGGGAGGAAAGUCCGAACUCCGCAGGGCAGUGUGCCGGAUAACGUCCGGGACGCGGGCGUCAAGGCCCGUGGACGGCCAGUGCCACAGAAAACAAACCGCCUCGGCCAACCCUCGCUUGCGAGGACGUCCCCGCUCCGGCAUGCCGGCGCGGUGUCGGGGUAAGGGUGAAAAGGUGCGGUAAGAGCGCACCGCUGCCGCGGUAACGCGGCGGGCAGGGUAAACCCCACACGGAGCAAGACCAAAUAGGGAGGGAUGUGCGCGCCCGGAGCAAUGCGCGCACUCGGUGCCGGCCCGGCGCCGCAAGGAUGCUCCAGGCAAGUUCCGAAACCUCCGGGUAGGUCGCUGAUGAGCGUCCGCGGCAACGCGGCGCCUAGAGGAAUGACCGCACUACGACAGAAUUCGGCUUACAGGCCUCUUGCCGA